rnacentral:piRNA from 1 species
UACUGAGUGUCUUCUAGAAGCAAGGUGGGG